AGCAUCCGGAUCGAUACUUGCAUCAGCUCAUACCUAACUUAUAGUGACAAAGGAUUAAUGUAAAUCUAGGGUAGGCAUGACUAAAUUGAUGACUGGAUGACGAUAACAUAAUAUAUGAUGCCGCUUUUAUUUAGGGCGUACAUCAGUGGUUGCUGAGGAAUUACAGGUAAAUCUCGAAACAGGUGGCUAACCGGGGGCCAGCAGGUAGUAGUGUGUCAGUCGGCCGUGCACGGCGCCACGGGUCUAGCGGCCGCACCCUGCGUCUGCCAGCAUCCGGAUCGAUACUUGCGCUGCAGGUAGUAGUGUGUCAGUCGUCCGCGCGCGGCGCCACGGGUCCUGCGUGCGCACUCUCCGGCUGCCAGCAUCCGGAUCGAUACUUGCGCCAGCUCUUAUCUAGUGCCUGGCUGCGGCUGCGGCCGGGCUGACACUCGAGCACCGGCGACAGCGGCGAAGACAGGAACAGGCUGCCUCUGCUGCUGCCGCUCGCCCCGGCACACUGACACUGCACGGCAGUCCGCACUGAGCCGCCGUGCGGUGAGGCCUCGCUGGAGCGGCAGCGGGGGCGGCGCCGGCGACCAUGAAGAGGCAGAACGUCCGCACCCUGUCGCUGGUGGUGUGCACGUUCACCUACCUGCUCGUCGGCGCCGCCGUCUUCGACGCCCUUGAGUCCGACACGGAGAGCAAGCGCUGGGAGGUGCUGUCAGAUCUGAAGGAGCAGCUGGUGAAGAAGUACAACAUCACGGCGGAGGACUACCGCGUCAUCGAGGUGGUCAUCAUCGAGAACAAGCCGCACAAGGCGGGACCGCAGUGGAAGUUCGCGGGCGCCUUCUACUUCGCGACCGUCGUGCUCGCCAUGAUAGGUUACGGCCACUCGACGCCGGUGACGAUCGGUGGGAAGGCGUUCUGCAUGGCGUACGCCAUGGUAGGCAUCCCGCUGGGGCUGGUGAUGUUCCAGAGCAUCGGCGAGCGCCUCAACAAGUUCGCCUCGGUAGUGAUUCGGCGCGCCAAGACGUACAUGCGCUGCUCGCGCGUCGAGGCGACCGAGAUGAACCUGAUGCUCGCGACGGGCCUGCUCAGCUCGGCCAUCAUCACCACCGGCGCCGCCGUCUUCUCGCGCUACGAGGGCUGGAGCUACUUCGACUCCUUCUACUACUGCUUCGUCACGCUCACCACCAUCGGCUUCGGAGACUACGUCGCACUGCAGAACGACCAGGCGCUGAGCGAGAAGCCGGGCUACGUGGCGCUGAGCCUGGUCUUCAUCCUGUUCGGGCUGGCAGUCGUCGCGGCCAGCAUCAACCUGCUGGUGUUGCGCUUCAUGACCAUGAACGCGGAGGACGUGCGCCGCGAGGACACGGAGCUGCAGCCGGCGUCGCAGCACGUGCUGACGCUGGACGGCGAGGUGCUGGCCAUGAACGGCAAGCUGCUGGCGGGGCACGUGCACGCCGCCGCCGGCGCCGGCGACGCGCCCGACGCCGACCAGGUGUCGGUGUGCUCGUGCACCUGCCUCGGGCCCUCGUCCUGCGCCUCCGGCGCCACCCCCGCGGGCUGCUACCAGCCCUGCCGGCCCGACCAGCCGCUGCAGCCGCCCCCGCACGCCUCCGCCGCCAAGCGCGCCUCCGUCUAGCCGCGGCUUGCCGGCGCACCGCCUCCCGGCUCCUCCGCUUACUACGUCGUGUGCAGAUGUGGGGACUUCGCACAGUUCCGCUUGCAGACUCAAAAGAGACGUCUUUAAUUUCAGCAACUAACUUCUCACCGACUGAAAACUGCUUUUCGUUCAAACGGAGUGCGUCGUACGGCACUUUCGACUGCGGAACCGCGAGGUGUAGGUUCGGACGCCUAAUAGCCAAGUGUCUGCUUCCUCGGCGCACGACAGUCCUUCUCCCCGCGAACUGUGAGAGUUUUGUCUUCAGUGUACGUGUAGUGGCUGUAUUUACAGUGUGGCAUCACGUAUUUGCUCUCUAUUCAUAAAAGAAUAGACACCUUGAACACAGUAUCAGUACAUAACCCAUUCCUUUCGAAGACAACCGAUGGGAACGUAAUGCUUAAUGCCACAUUUCCUUAUUUCCCGAGACAGUACAUAGAGGUGGCACUAAGAGUGGCGUUCAGGAAAUUUACUUGCCGGGCAUAUACUGGAUUCGAAAAUUCCUUCCCACAUCAGGAUUCAAACAAGCUAUCUCCUCCGUCUCGAGCGUUCCCACAAAGACGUGUACUAGCGAACUCUGUGAUAGAGGUGCGUACCGUCCAAAAGAUUUCCCGUGAGUGGAACGACUGUGUGGGAUCUGGAGAGUAAAGGACUGAGCGGAAUAUGUACAAGCAAUUUUAAUAACUGGAGUACAGAAUGCAUAUGUAGUUGUGAAUAUGAACCACCAUUGGGUGUAAAUCGGAAUGACGAUUACGAACAUUUCUGCCAUACUGGCACUCAAUCCCUGAUUUCCCAUUUUACAGGAGUGGUCACCUUGACUGCUUCAGGAUUCAAACAAGCUAUCUCCUCCGACUCGAGCGUUACCACAAAGACGUGUACUAGCGAACUCUGUGAUAGAGGUGGGUACCGUCCAAAAGAUUUCCCGUGAGUGGAACGACCUAGUGGGAUCUGGAGAUUAAUGGACUGAGGGUAAUAUGUACAAGCAAUUUGAAUAACUGUAACAAGAAAUGUAUUCGUAGUUGUCAAUAUAAACCACCAUUGGGUGUAAAUUGGAAUGACGAUAACGAAAAUUUCUACCAUACUGGGACUCGAUCCCUGAUUUUCAAUUUUACAGGAGUGGUCACCUUGACUGCUUCAGGAUUCAAACAAGCUAUCUCCUCCGACUCGAGUGUUACCACAAAGACGUGUACUACAGAACUCUGUGAUAGAGGUGGGUACCGUCCAAAAGAUUUCCCGUGAGUGGAACGACCGUGUGGGAUCUGGAGAUUAAAGGACUGAGGGGAAUAUGUACAAGCAAUUUGAAUAACUGUAACAAGAAAUGUAUUCUUAGUUGUGAAUAUGAACCACCAUUGACUGUAAAUUGGAAUGACGAUAUUGAAAAUUUGUGCCAUACUGGGACUCGAUCCCUGAUUUCCCAUUUUAUAGGAGUGGUCACCUUAACUGCUUCAGCUACCUGAGCACAAAUCACAGCCAGACCCAAACUUCGACAUGUCGUGUUGCAUGUGUCACAACUUGCACUCGUACGUUACAUGUAUUUCUGUUUGGGAAGACAUAUGUAUUGAGAGUCGAGGUCCUGAUAUUGGUGAAAUAGCAGUGCCUGUGUAAUAUCCCUUCUUUCGUGUCCAGAGGAACAUUACAUCAUACUUCUUAAUAACAAAGGCACUGCUAUUUCCUAAUUUAACAGCUUUUGCUAAGACUACCAUCGCCACAUUAUAACAAUUGUAAAAGGCUCCAACCAUGAUGCUGACCAUUUAGCCUUGGCUUCGGGCCUGUUAUAACAGGGACAGGUCCGAUGGCCAUACUUCCUUCAACUGUGUCUUCAUUUGCUUACCAUUCUGUAGGGUCCCCCACUUCAUCCUGCAUAGCCACUGUCUAAGGAGUUCCAAUGGGCGUAUGCAACGAACGCUGCAGAGUUAGUCGGCGACCUCAGAGAUGUCAAUCCGAAAUGCAUAUUAUGGCAGUCUGCAGUGCCACAGGGACAUCUUUUAUACCAUAGCAAACAAUACUGCAUUUGUGUUUGUGGUGCUGGAGAUCCAUCGUUCACUCUGGAUUGCACACCUUACUUCUUACUACCGCACGACAACUAAAAGAAGAAACUGUUAGAAAUUCACGCCUACAUCUUAUGGUGUUUUUAUGGGAAUAUGUACACUGAGGGCUCAUGGAAACACAAUGGCUCCACAACAUUCUGCACAGCAGGCAACUGCUGAUACACCAACUGUCUUGACUAGCGACAUGUAGAGGGUGACAAUUAUUGAAGUAUAUGAAAAAAAAUUAUGGCGUCCACACACUUUAUUCAAUACAUAAACGUCACUACACAUAUUCCAAUUUCGGUUAUGACAUGUACGAUAUGCCUGCCAUCACUGGUGAUGAUGCGGAACAGACGAAUAGUGAAAUUCUGCGAGACCCACGAAGUGUCGGAACAUCGAUGCUGUUUGACGACCCCCUGAAUGGCUGUUUUCAUCUCAGCAAUGGUUUUGGGAUUCUGCUGCGCACCUUGUCUUUAAUGUAGCCCCACAAAAAGGAGUUGUAUGUGUUCAGAUCCGGAGAAUAUGGUGGCCAAUCGAGGCCCAUGCCAGUGACCUCUGGGUACCCCAGAACCAGAAUGCAGUCCCAAAAGUGCUCCUCCAGGACAUCAAACACUGUCCUGUUUAGAUGGGGUCGACCUCCAUCCUGCAUGAACCACAUCUUUUUGACAUCAGGGUCAUUUUGGAUAAUGGGGAUGAAAUCAUCUUCCAAAACCUUCACUUACCAUUCGGUAAUCACCACGUUAUCAAGGAAUAUUGGACCGAUUGUUCCAUGACUGUAUGCUGCACACCACACAGCCACCUGUUGAGGGUGAAGAGACUUCUCGAUCGUGAAAUACGGUUCCUCAAUCUCCCAAAUGCGCCAACUUUGCUUAUUGACAAACCCAUCGAAAUGAGAGUAGGCUUUGUCACUAAACCAAAUGUGCGUGCACAAACUAAUCCCCAUUGUGCCCAGUGGCCAACUGUGCAAUUUGAACGUCCUAAUACAAACCAUUCAGAAGUUAUAACAAUUCAUAUAGUUCAAUGAUUGUCACCCUGUAUAUGUGAGGCAUACUGUGCAACUCCACAUUUUGUUCCAUUGAAUCUCAUCAAUGUUCAGCUUCUAUAGUCGGUGGCAGUGUUAAUGGCCGCUGGCCACACAGCUCCUGAGAAAUGCUCCAUUGUCAGCUGAAAAUUCACCAGUAUCGCCACAAGCCACUGCAGUGUGUUCCUGCAGUUUGGCAACCUCACAGACAAACUCGACUGAACCUGCCUCACAUUUGAAGAACGAGUACACUUCAAAUAUAAGGUCCCUUCCCUGUCUGUGAAACUCUUAGCACCUUCUAAGUGUUUCAGCUAUUAUAAAAAAAACUCACAGAAUACACAGAAAUCAAUCAAUCAUAGUUUUGCACAUGUAGAACAUGAUAGAAUGCUCAAAUGUGAUGGACGUUCGCACAGCACAGAACGCGGAAACUGGAUGAGUACUGAUUGGCUAGCUGCACUGAUUGGCUAGCUGCACAGCUAUCUACUUUUCAUCCUAGCCCAGAGGUAAAAAACCAUUGUAUGGACUAGAAGUGUAACGAAUAUCAGCAGUAUUUUCUUUGUUGGCAAUGGUUAGCUACAUUGUAAUCAUGAAAAUGGGUUACCUCUGUUUCUAAAAAAGACUGAGGCACCUGUGUGAUUUGUGAACAACAUGCCAAUGAACUGUUGUACCAUAUUUCUGACAAGUGUGCAUAGACCUAUUCUCGAUAUGGAAAAUAACCCUCAUUAUUCUGACAUGCAUUUCUACAGUCAUUUGCAUCCAAACUGGUCUGCACUAGGCAAGUGACUUCCACUUAUUAAGAUCCAAUAAGCACCUGUCUAAUGAGCAUAGCUACCAAUGAAUCAAUGAUACUAUUAUACUGUGCUCUGGGUUUUCCAUGGUAUGUUAACGCAGACACAGUCUCACUUCCACUGUAAUAUUUCCUCUGCAAUCUACAGUCAUGUCAGUGGAUCGUUCCACAAGCCUGUACUUCAUUUAGAUUUGCUGGGAUACAACCAUCACCAAGCUCUCUAAAUGAUAUGGCAGCAAUGUUAUACCUUGAUGGGAAAACAAUAAACAAUAUACAAAUGUACUGAGCUGUAUACAAGUGUCAGUGCAUGUGCUUCUCAGUGUGCAUAUUUCUUUCUGUUGUUUGAAGUUUCAUGGUAAGGUACAAUUGCAGAUGAUGAGUGCAUAUGAAGUAGAACGAUUUUUCCACUUGUAAUUAAAAUGAAAAUGUAAUUGACACACAAAGUGAAAGAGGAGACAUUUACAUAAUAUUACUCACUGAAAUGUGAGAGAGAAAACUCGAAACUAAAUAAUCAGUACUUAAUCCACAAUGCUUACACACUUGUUCAUACUGUAUACAGUCUGCUUUCCUUCUGGUUUGAUAUGGGUAGUAAAAUGCUUUCCAUGUCCGAGACCAGAAAAGGGAAUCAGAGUUUUACAGACCUCUCCCACAGAGUCCUGCAUUAGCAAAUAUGGCAUCACAGCAGCAUAACACUAUGAGGUAACUUGUUGAGAACAGGUACACAGAAUGACUGUACAAGGAUUGUGAAUAAACAAUGAAAACAAAACUAAAAGGUAAGUUACUUGGAAAAAUCUCAAGCAAGCAGAAUAAGUUGGGAACUGCCCAUUCUAGCAUCAGCUAGUGAGUUUAACACUGAAAUGUAUUUAAAAGAUAGAUCAGUAAAAAUCAGGUCUUAUAAAUUGUAUUUGUGCCUAGGGUAUGACUGCAGAGUUUUCUACACAAUCUGCUGUCAAAAUUGUACAUCAGACUGCCACUAAACAAUAUUCUCCAUACUGUAAAUGAAACACACAGUAAAGCUAAAGGCAUUGAAGAUACAAUUCAUUGAUGGUCUCAACCACAAUCAAUUGUCACAAGAAACCCUCAUUCAUGUGUUCCACAGAGAAUACAUAUUUUCUAUUUGAAUAUUGUUUAGUAUAUUUUUGGUGUAUUACACACAAAAGAUACACUGUAAUACAUGUUACAAAAUGAUAAUUACUAUGGAUGAAAUGCUUUUUUUCCAGUUUCACACUUCCUAUUUUUAUAUUGUUGUUAAAUGGUGUACUAAACAAAUAAUAAAGAUUUUACAUUUUGUCUUCCAUAUGAAGUUACAAGAAAUUUAUAAGCUAAUCUCUAUACCUAAAAUAUCCUAUUUUCUGUGUCACUGACCAUAAUUCCCAUUUAUGUCUGUAACAUAGUCUGUGUUAAUAAAUGCACUUAACAACAA